CUUCUUCCUCCUCUUCCUCGCCCGGAGCGGCGUCUUCUCUCCGGAGCCCGCCGGCCCGGGGCGUCCAGUCUCCCGGACCGCUUCAGGUGCCCGACAGCCUCGGGAGAUCCGGUCUCCGGUUUGGACGCCUUCCAAGGACAUGAUGACGACUGUAGAUCUCUCUCGCUCUCGCUCUCUUCAUAUAUAUAUAUAUAUCUAUAAUUUCCUAAUAUUUUUUUUCCCACGGUUUUGUUUUUAUUUUGCUUUGCCUUUUGGGUACCAAAAAGGAUCGGAGCGGCCGUAGCUUCAAGAAUGGAUCAACUCAUUUUUUUUCUCCUUCCAACUCAUGGUGUCAUCCUGAACAAAGCAUUGUCGACUCAUACUGAGGAAAAAGAUUUUGCCCAGGAAAUAGCUACAUUGUGGUUUCUUAGGCAACUACCUACAAAAUCAUUUUCAAAAGACAGAAGGCUGUUAUAGAAGGCAACACAUUGUACAGAAUUACUUCGUUGUUCUUCACAUUUGUUUUGCUUCCAGUCAAAAACAUAUUCAUUUUUGGCACUUAAAACUCCCUUUAAAACUUUGGGAUUGGUUGAUCAUUGGCUGAAAAGUUUACCGGAAUCUCAGUGAAAUCAUCCAAACUGAGUGAUCCUGCAGAAACAAGAAUACCUCCUAAAUCACCUUAAUUCCUCCCCAAACUUCAUUGGUGUGCAAUCCUGAGGCAAAAAUGACCUAUAAUUUAAAACUAUUCCAACUGGGCAUUUCUUUAACCUGGCUUGUUGAUUUUCUCCCAUAACAGUGCCAUCAGUAGGACAUUCAUUCUAGAAUUCUGUCACUUUUGCAAUUCAGAAGACCAUGCUAAAACAUUUGGCUACAACUUGGGUCUACUGUUUCCUUUCUGCAAAUGGUCGCAUAUAUUAUUUAUGUACUAAAUCUUUUCAGUCAGCUCAUCAGUUAUUUAUUUUUUCUCAAUCUUUUCUAAACUGAAUGGAUGGGUUCUAAGACUUAAAAAGGCAUUGUUAUGGUUCAGAAGUGCAUGUCACUGUGUAAUACAGCUUACCCUGGAGUUGAUGCAUCCAGCUGUGUUGUUGCCUUUAUAUAAAACAAGAUAUGGCAGUCUGGUGGAAUAAGUAUCCUGUUUGUAGUUUGAAGGAGAGAUGUCGCCAUUUGGAGUAUGAAGAAGCAGAACUUUUAACUCGGAAGAUAGCUGCCAGUUUUGGUCAUCUUGUAAACAAACUCACACUGAUUCAAGAGUCUUCCAGUAGCAGAUGAAAGAAAGCUGCAGCGUUCCUGACUGCACAUGGAUUAGGAUGCUUGGGAUGAUUUUAGCCACUACCUUGUUGAGGACUAUAUGAGAUUUCGGUAGUUUGGUCCCAGUGGUGUAGCUCUUCUCAGGAGGAUGUCUUGAACCAAAAGAUGAUGAUUACAAAGAUGAGGUGGCAAGAGAAGAAAUGAAAAAGAAAACAAUAUUUCAAGAUAAGAGAUGGAGGGAAAGGCAGCAUCUAAAGGAUUUAUCCUCCCCUCCCUCACAUAACAACUAGUGCUGUAGCCUGCACUAUUAUUAGACGGAUGUCACAUUUAGAUCCUUUAAAGCUUAAAGCCUUUUAGCCUUGGUCAAGAAUGAACCUUUUGAUUACAGAAUGCAGAGCAGAAAAUCUUCCGUAUUACUAUUCAGCCACUGAUGACAUCCCCUGACCCUAAAACUCAGACUUACAUCCUGGAGGGAGUUGGUGCCAGUUCCGUGCUGUUGCAAAGGGAGCCAUGUGGAGAAGUCAUCAGGAGUUGAGCAUCACCCAAAAGAGCUUUACCCUUUUUUAUACUAGUGGGUCGUGUGGACUUGCCCUUGAGGCUCCUCUCAACGUACGCUCUGGUUUCAAGUUGAUCUGUUUAUCAUUCGCUGGGGAAAUACCUUCAUCUUCAAGUCUGGGCCAGUUGGCCUCUACAACAAGAGCAGGAAACUUGUGUUUACAAGUGGGAAGAAGACCUCAUUUACAUUUUUGGAGGGUCAUCUGGAGGAGAAACUUGAGAGAAAGAAGCAUCAGCAAACCCCAUGGUGCCUCCUGGACUGGGUUGAGCUCCUGUUCUUUGCCUCAACGCCUGCCCACCUAGCGGUUCGAAUGCAUGCAAAUGCAAGUAGAUAAAUAGGUACCACUUUGGUGGAAGACAACAGCGUUCUGUGCACCUUUGGCCUAUAGGCCAUGCUUGGCCACAGGACCACUGAAAUUGUCUUCAGACAGUGCUGGCUCAUUGGCCCUUGAAACAGAGCUUCCUUCAUCCUGAGAGCGGUUAAAUAUUUCCCACAGCAAGCUCCGAACUAUAUUUUGGCUUUUUCAAGAGGAUGACGCGGGGAGGGGGAAAAAAAAGGCUUUCUCUUCAGGAGUCUUUGCCGUCCCAGCUUCAUCGAAACGAAAAGGAAAUAGAGCCCCCAUGCCUGAGUAUCUGCCUUCGACAUGUCCAGCUACAAGGAAGUCUUGCCUGGAGCUCCUUCAGGAAUCUGGUUUCAUAUGGUGGUUUAGAUUUAAGUACACAAUGUCUAGCACCAUUUGAAAUCAGUGUUUUUGGGGGAAGAAUGGCUGCACGUUGACCGGUCUUGGGAGUCCAUAGGCUUCCGAUAAAAGCUUCCGCGACCAGCUCAUUUACGUUGGAUUUAUUGCCUCUUCCCGUACAGCCUCGGCAGCGAAACUGACUUAAUUAUUAAGCCAGGUUGGACAAUUGAAAUGAACCCCUUACAGAAAUAUACCUGCCUUCUUAGGCAAGUCAGGAAGAUACUAGGCCUUGGAAGUUCGUGUGUUUACGCAUACUGUGAGAAUGUCAUCGACAGAUUGAUCGCAAAUAGGAGAGAGUCAGAGCUGAUUGCAAGAAGGUCUUAAUAAGCUGACUCAGCAGAAAACCUCUCUUCCCAGAACGGUUUCUGGGCCACAUUGUCACCAUUUAAAACAAAUUUGAAGUCAAAUAUUUAGGGCUUGACGUUCCAGAGGAUUCUUCCCCAAUCCCCAGGGUGUGUUGGUGCAGCUGGCUGGAGGUUUGUUGGAUUUGUAUUCCCAUGUAUCUUUUGGGAAGACCCCAAAUUGGAGAAAGAUGGCAACCCGAGGCCUAACGGUAUAUAAUGCCAACAGCUGAAAUCCCGAACGAGAGCAGGGUUUGUUCUGUUGGUAUAAUUCAUAUCCCAUUUCUUAGUUGGGGUUUAUAAAUAUGGAAGUGAGGGUGGUUCUAACCCAAAAGACUUCAGAGGUUCUCGGUAGCCACGCGUUGCAAAUUCAUGGACUCGCAGAUUCCAGUGACCCCUUUAAAGGAUAACUGAUUUCUUCUGGUGUUCGGAGUCUAUUCUUCUUUCUAGCACCAUUUGAAAUCGGUUAUAGUGAUUGGGGAAUGUCGACCCGGGAGACCUGGUGUUGGUGGCAAGACCUUGACGUGAAAGCUGAAAUGCUUCCCACCGGCCGGCCUUUGGGAUUACGAGGGGAAAGUCGCAACUUCGUGGUUCUCCUCUUCGAAGGGACACAAGGAACAGCAGUCAUGUGGCUGUGAAACCAGUCACAGUGAAGGCUGCACUUUGCAGCAGUGGGAGAUCGUCUGUCUCUUGAGUGUGUGCAGCACGCAGGGAGAAAACAAGCCAUGACUCAUGUCAGGAACAAGUCCCAUCGCCCAAAGCAAUGACAAUAGAAUAACAGAGCUGGGAGGUACCUUGGAGGUCUUCUAGUCCAACCCCCUGGCCAGGCAGGAGAGCCUAUAUCGUUUCAUGGAUUUCUUGGAUGCUGCUGAGGAGGGAAGAAAAGGACACACUGGAAUAAUAUCUCCAGCUAAAUUCCUCUGCUUUCACGCAAGUGUCAUUCAGCAAAACAGGAACCACACUCUGCAAUGUGUGUGACUGGCCACGGGUACAGCAGGGGCCAAUUUACGUUACUCACUUCACUGAGGUGUCCCUUACCGAAGUCAUGCAGCAGAAAAGGUUCAGCUGCACACUCUUAGGUGUCAUUACUUUAUGGACAUUGGUAAGGCUGCUGAGGGUGUUGACGGAAGACGGAGCAAGCAGCGUAUUGCGGAAUGAGGCAACCCAGCCUUUUCUAAUUGGUUGCUUUUCAGACUCAAUCAUCCAGGCCCAAAGUAUCUAAAAGGGAGGGAGGGAGAGACAGAGAAAGGGGGGGAAAAGAGAGAGAGAGAGACACACACACAAGAGACAGAGAGGGAGGGAAGGUAGCACGAUGCCCACCUUAGACCACGUUACAUGGAUCUGAAGCCCCCUUGUGAAAAAGCUGCUGCAAAUCCUGGCUUGGUCCAGUUACACUGCGGAGUAGGCAGUGAACAAGGCUCCCGCAGGUCCUCAACAGGAAUCAUUGUGUGGCAGGAAAGUGGGGUGGCCUUUUCCUUGGGUGCAAAAAAAGGCGGGGUUGGCCUCAUUGCCUUCCAGCCUCUCCAACCAGAACAGGAUUGGAAGAUGGUUCUCGAUUGGGGCCCCUUGAUCCUUUCAGAUGCAUUCAGGAUUCAGAGCUUUUCUUUGAAGAUAGGAUGCGAUAUCCAAGACUUAUUUCCUGCCUGCAUAUAUAUAAAUAUAUAAACUUUAGGUAGUAAUUACAGCCUCUAGGCACAAGAGGGAGCCAGAGUUUAUAGGAGAGCGAUUGUGAACACUCUGCCUGUUUUAAGAUUGACUUGGUUGUGUGCUUGUGACACCACAGCUUGCUGAAAAUACCAUACUUUCCUGGUUUAUAUGUGAAAACUCCUACUUUGUAACUCCGCACAAUAUAUUUAUCACUACUGAGCCGACCCGUUUUCUGAAUCCAAAUAGCACAUUGAACAAAGUGGCAGUUCCCGCAACAUAUUAAGCUAGAGAUAAUCAUCAUCAUCUAAGAUUAAUUAAACUUGGUACAUAAAUCCUGGCCUGCAAAUCACAAUGACUGAACCAUCACAUUGGCUGAGUGCUGUAUAAACUAGGUCACGUCUUACAGCCAAGGUGGGUUUUUUUUUUCCAAAAGGCAAUUGGACUUUCUUCUUCUUGCUUUUUUCUUUGAAAACAUUUUGCUUCUCGUCCAAGAAGCUUCUUCAAUUCAUGACAACCAUGACCUGGAUGAUUUGAGAGUGGGAAAAUUUUUGCAUCUGGGCAAAGGUUCCUUUAAACAUCAUACUGAUUUUAAUCCAAUUUAACUGAAUUGGCUUUCUAAUUGUAAUUCAACAAAACUGAGCAGGAAUGGGGCAUUUCUGGAUAGUUCUAAGGGCAAGAGCCUGUAGUGUUACUCCACUUUUAAAAUAUUUGUUUGCUAUAAUACACACUUAAGUUGAAAAACGUUACAGGGGCAUUGCGAAGUUACAUCAUUGUGCCUGUGUCAACAGGUUAGCAUCCUUGUGAUUUUGCUGGAGGCACAAACGGUUUCCAGCGUGUCCUUAGUUUGAAUUGCACACUGUUAUUGCAGAGAGGCAAAUACGGUGAAUAUUUGUUUAUGACAUCUGGAAUUCGAUUGAUUAUUAAAUGUGUACAUGGCCCAAUUCCCAGCAACUCUGGGCAGUUCACAAGUAACACACACACACACACACACACCAAUGCAAUAAUAAAAAGAACAAAAGACGGUAACACCCAAAAGCAGACGCACUAUCCAAGCGAACCCAAUCUGUGGCAUCUGAUUAAGAAGGCAGAUAAGAGGGAAGAUGAUGCAGAGCAGAUCAAAUCACAAAUGCAGUCAGCUCUCUUGAGACUUUUAAGAACUGGGCAAGUUUUGAAACUAUAAAAGCAACAAAUCACAUCCACCAUUCAAAACUUAACACAUCAGGGUAUUCAAGGAAAAGACAAGCAGCCCAAGUCAGAGACAAAGGCCUGAGUGUUAAAGGAAGUUUUAGCCUCUUCCUACUCUCACAAAAUCAGAUCUUGGGCCAUCUUCAGAAGCUCAACGCAAGAAGCUUCAAGACAAUGCAGUUAAUAUUGUGUAGCCUGCCAUGGAAGGGUUGGUGGGUCAUCCGUGAAAAUGGCUUUAGCGGGUGCCCGGAUGUUUUCACUGGAAAUCUGGGAAGGGGGGCAGUGGGAUGGAUGGAGUCACCUCAGUCACCAUUCUUUCAAACUUUGUAUUCCUCAUUUGAAAUGUUUUCAGAGAAAAAUCCAAGAAAUUCAAGUUACCUUUUUGGGGGGAGGGAGUUUUUUUGGAGCAACAUGUGUUGCGCUCCUUGGCUGCUUGAUCCCUCCUCCUGGACCAGACCAGCUCCAACCCAUUCCAUUUUCUUCAAGCCUCAAUCUACACACACACACACACACACACUUUGUUCAGAGAUUACUCCUGAAUCUUUUGCAACCCUCAAAUUGUCCGGCUAAGAGGAAUCUCAGCUGAGCAAAGUGCAAAACACAAAAAUAUACAGAAAACAAGAAAGAAAAGAAUAUAGUGAAGAGAGGAAAGAAAUAAAGAAGAUAGAGACUGUUUAGGAUGUAUGAUAGCACAAGAAGAGAAAAGGAUCAAUCACUGCCAAAGAAAUGUACAAGCAAAAUAGCAGUAAAAGUACAUUGUAGUGAUGACUUGUAGUGGUGAAUAUAGAGACAGUGAAUGAGGAUACAGGAGGAAACGUCAAGGAUGUGGAUACAAAUCAGACAUCAGAACUUCUGUCAAGAAAAGCUGUCAAUCAGUGGCUCCUAUAUAGGGUGGUUUCUUCAAGCAGAAGCUGGCUAUCUAGUAAGGAUAACCAAAUAUGAAGAGAUUAAGUCUCAUUCUAGGAUCCUUUGAAUUUAAAGAACACAUUUUUAAAUCGAUCUUAGCAAUUGGGCAAGUAAUGUAAGCUAUAACAUUUCUGCACAACCAGCAGAUUCAAUUCAGCGCACUGCUAAGGGAAUAUAUCACAAAGAAAAUCAAAAUAUUACUUGGGAGUCUUGCCAAAAUGUUCUAGUC